ACACCGGAAAGCUGUUUGCCAACCGCCAAUAAACUCAAGAAGAAGAAGAACUGCGCGGACGCAGAAGGAUUUUCUCUGGAGACCAAGAUUUCCGUUACUCUGGACAAGACCUGGUGCUGGGAACACUGGUGAAAGAUCUGAAAGAUCUGGAGAAUAAUGUCAGCAGUUUCUGCAGAGGAAAUUCAGACGGCUGUUACUAAAGCCCUUCCUGGACUUCCUCAGGUGAAGAUGGAGAAGCUGGUGGAGAAGCUUGUUA